AUUGAACGCUGGCGGCAGGCCUAACACAUGCAAGUCGAGCGAGCGGCGGACGGGUGAGUAAUGUAUGGGGAACUGCCUGAUGGAGGGGGAUAACUACUGGCAACGGUAGAUAAUACCGCAUACCAUCAGAUGUGCCCAUAUGGGAUUCGCUUGUUGGUGGGGUAACGGCUCACCAAGGCGACGAUCCCUAGCUGGUCUGAGAGGAUGACCAGCCACACUGGAACUGAGACACGGCCCAGACUCCUACGGGAGGCAGCAGUGGGGAAUAUUGCACAAUGGGCGAAAGCCUGAUGCAGCCAUGCCGCGUGUAUGAAGAAGGCCUUCGGGUUGUAAAGUACUUUCAGUCGGGAGGCGUUACCGGCAGAAGAAGCACCGGCUAACUCCGGGCCAGCAGCCGCGGUAAUUC
rnacentral:rRNA from 1 species